rnacentral:rRNA from 1 species
UACAGAGGGUGCGAGCGUUAAUCGGAAUUACUGGGCGUAAAGAGUGUGUAGGCGGUGCUCUAAGUUCGGUGUGAAAUCUCCUGGCUCAACUGGGAGGGUGCGCCGGAAACUGGAGUGCUUGAGCGUGGGAGAGGAAAGCGGAAUUCCUGGUGUAGCGGUGAAAUGCGUAGAUAUCAGGAGGAACACCUGUGGUGUAGACGGCUUUCUGGACCAUAGCUGACGCUGAGACACGAAAAGCCGUGGGUAGCAAACAGG